rnacentral:rRNA from 1 species
GAUGAACGCUGGCGGCGUGCCUAAUACAUGCAAGUCGAGCGAACAGACGAGGAGCUUGCUCCUCUGACGUUAGCGGCGGACGGGUGAGUAACACGUGGAUAACCUACCUAUAAGACUGGGAUAACUUCGGGAAACCGGAGCUAAUACCGGAUAAUAUAUUGAACCGCAUGGUUCAAUAGUGAAAGACGGUUUUGCUGUCACUUAUAGAUGGAUCCGCGCCGCAUUAGCUAGUUGGUAAGGUAACGGCUUACCAAGGCAACGAUGCGUAGCCGACGUGAGAGGGUGAUCGGCCACACUGGAAAUGAGACACGGUCCAGACUCCUACGGGAGGCAGCAGUAGGGAAUCUUCCGCAAUGGGCGAAAGCCUGACGGAGCAACGCCGCGUGAGUGAUGAAGGUCUUCGGAUCGUAAAACUCUGUUAUUAGGGAAGAACAAAUGUGUAAGUAACUAUGCACGUCUUGACGGUACCUAAUCAGAAAGACACGGCUAACUACGUG